CGCGUAGGCGGCCCUGGCAGUCGGUGGUGAAAGCCCGUGGCUCAACUGCGGGUCGGCCACCGAUACUCCAGGGCUCGAGUUUGGUAGAGGCAGAUGGAAUUCCGGGUGUAGCGGUGGAAUGCGUAGAGAUCCGGAAGAACACCGGUGGCGAAGGCGGUCUGCUGGGCCAAGACUGACGCUGAGGCGCGACAGCGUGGGGAGCAAACA
rnacentral:rRNA from 1 species